rnacentral:rRNA from 1 species
CCACGGGCCGCUCCAGUGGGGAAUAUUGCACAAUGGAGGAAACUCUGAUGCAGCAACGCCGCGUGGAGGAUGACACUUUUCGGAGCGUAAACUCCUUUUAUAUAGGAAGAAGAUGACGGUACUAUAUGAAUAAGCGCCGGCUAACUCCGUGCCAGCAGCCGCGGUAAUACGGAGGGCGCAAGCGUUACUCGGAAUCACUGGGCGUAAAGAGCGCGUAGGCGGAUUAAAAAGUCAGAAGUGAAAUCCUAUAGCUUAACUAUAGAACUGCUUCUGAAACUCUUAAUCUAGAAUAUGGGAGAGGUAGAUGGAAUUUCUGGUGUAGGGGUAAAAUCCGUAGAGAUCAGAAGGAAUACCGAUUGCGAAGGCGAUCUACUAGAACAUUAUUGACGCUGAGACGCGAAAGCGUGGGGAGCAAACAGGAUUAGAUACCCGCGUAGUC